rnacentral:lncRNA from 1 species
UUGGUUGUCAGAAAAUACUUAAAAAUUAUGAGCACUUAGAAUUUUAAAACUACACAUCCUCAUAAUAAUAUUAGUAACUUAACAAUUUAUACUCAGAUACUUUUGUUAUCAUCAAAAUCAAGCUAAGGUCAAUAAGAGAGAAAUUUCAAAUUUGGUAGGAGAGGGGUUUGAAAGGAAUUAUCGCUCGAGAAAAAUUAAAAAUGGAAUAAUAAAAUCUUGGAAUAUUUUUAAUUAAGAAAUCCAUCCC